AUGAAUAAUUCAUGCGCCCAUUGAAUCGAAUCUAAUACGUUUCUUUUAUUUUAGAUGUGAUAGAGAUCAAGUCAAGUGAAAGCUCAAGCUCAGACUCAAGCUCAGACUUGGACUCAAGCUCAGACUUGGACUCAAGCUCAGACAUUGUUGAACUUGUAAAAGGAAAACAGCAGCUUUCAAAAUCAAUAAUCAUAAAAAUACUGAAAAUAGCACCUCAAA